GACUAGUGCAACAGAGAGCAAACCGCCGAUGGCCCACGCGAGUGGGAUCAGGUAAGGGUGAAAGGGUGCGGUAAGAGCGCACCGCGCGGCUGGUAACAGUCCGUGGCACGGUAAACUCCACCCGGAGCAAGGCCAAAUAGGGGUUCAUAAGGUACGGCCCGUACUGAACCCGGGUAGGCUGCUUGAGCCAGUGAGCGAUUGCUGGCCUAGAUGAAUGACUGUCCACGACAGAACCCGGCUUAUCGGUCAGUUUCACCU
rnacentral:RNase_P_RNA from 1 species